ensembl:lncRNA
AUAGACCAGAACAGCUCAAGGACAGAACAACAUGAAUUUAAAAAGGCAAACGUAGCCUUCAUAUCAAUACACACAAACUAUCUAGGUCAAAUAGGGGAGAGGCGAUGUGAGGUGUUGCUUUAUCUGUUGUUUGAAACCAGGUUUGCUGUUCAUCUCAACAAUAUGAGAUGGAACGGAGUUCCAUGCAAUAAUGUCUCUAUAUAAUACCGUACGCUUUCUUGAAUUUGUUCUGGAUUUGGGGACUGUGAAAAGACCCCUGGUGGCAUGUCUGGUUGGAACUCAACCACACGACUGGACAAUAAUGAAGAUAAAACACAACUAGAGCCUGCAGGACUCAGAGCAUCUCUGAAUCUAUAUGUUUUGACCAUGACAGUUUACAAUCUAAGCCAUGUGUUUGUGUGUGUCUGUGUACUUUAUUCAAGUCACUGUUAUGACAGGACAUUUUACUCCCAGUCCCGAGCUGCUGCCAGAGCAGGAUGAUCAUAAUGCCGUCUUCUCCAUGGCAACACGUCCUAUGGGUUCUAUUCUGACCACGAGAGACUAACAG